rnacentral:rRNA from 1 species
GAUGAACGCUGGCGGCGUGCCUAAUACAUGCAAGUCGAGCGAACAGAUGAGGAGCUUGCUCCUCUGACGUUAGCGGCGGACGGGUGAGUAACACGUGGAUAACCUACCUAUAAGACUGGGAUAACUUCGGGAAACCGGAGCUAAUACCGGAUAAUAUAUUGAACCGCAUGGUUCAAUAGUGAAAGACGGUUUUGCUGUCACUUAUAGAUGGAUCCGCGCCGCAUUAGCUAGUUGGUAAGGUAACGGCUUACCAAGGCAACGAUGUGUAGCCGACCUGAGAGGGUGAUCGGCCACACUGGAACUGAGACACGGUUCAGACUCCUACGGGAGGCAGCAGUAGGGAAUCUUCCGCAAUGGGCGAAAGCCUGACGGAGCAACGCCGCGUGAGUGAUGAAGGUCUUCGGAUCGUAAAACUCUGUUAUUAGGGAAGAACAAAUGUGUAAGUAACUAUGCACGUCUUGACGGUACCUAAUCAGAAAGCCACGGCUAACUACGUG